GUGGGGCGAGCGGAGGAGAUAAAAGAGGCCUCGGCGUUUAUUCGUGCGCAAGUAAUGCGGGUAAUUUGUAGAUUCGGCAUUAUCUCCUGCCCCUCAUGACCCCAUCCCAUCUCUUUGGUUCUUUCUUUAUUCGCGGGGAAUUUCUAUCUUGCCUUGGUGGGAGAGAGGGACGCGACGAGGCGAAGAAGGGUGUGGAUAAGGCCUCCACAUGGAGGCGUCGCGCGUUGGAACCCGGGGCGUGCUUCGGCCUGACUGGGACGGACGGACUGGCUCGGCUGAGUACUGCUGACUGUGCCUGCGUGGCUGUGCUUGGGCAGGGGCCACACACUUGAAUUCUACUUGCGGCACGCGGGUUUUCCCCGUCCACUUGUUCUGGGACUGGGUUGUAGGAGAACUGGUGGGCUGAGUAGUUGGACGGGACCAUCGCCCUUUCGAAUGACCUCGGCGCGUGGCAUCCCCACCUUGUCUGUACUUUAUUUAUCAAAGCUACUGUGCCUGUCAUCACUUGCUGGAUCAAUUUCCAUUCCUUUCUUAUAUUGGCUUUUUAAUUGUGGGUGUCUUUUGUGGUGGGGCUAAUCAAUUUUUCAUGGCUUGAUGUUUUUUUUAAGACAGUCAUGCCUAAGAGCAUCUCCAACAGCAUACUCAUAUUUUAUAGAAUAUCCAAAAACUGUCAAUACGUGUAUUUUGUCCCAAAAUACGUCUCUAACAGCGUACCCAUAAAUUUCGGAUAACCAAAUUAUUUUUGAUAGCUAUUCAUAUUGGAGGUUAAAAUAUGGUAGCUGUCCAAAACACCCGACCAGUGGCGGGACGGCCAACUGCCUCGUUCCGGCCAUUUCCGAGCCGGCGCCGGUCUCCGAUUCCGGCGGCCGGACCGCGCCGCCGCCGACCACCGCUGUCCUCCCACCGUAGCCGACCCCUCCGCCACCUCCCUGGGUGCCCCCGCCGGCGUUCCCCUGCCCCCGUUCGGCUUAGCCCCGGCCGCAUCGGGUGCCGCCGCUGGCGGGGCCGCCCCCAACUGCUGCCCCGCGCCUGGCGCCACCGUAGCCAGACGGGGAGAGGAAGAAGAGCAGGGGCCGCCCGCUCCCUCUGCCCCGCGUCCCCAAGGCGCGACGGUGGCUCGCGCGGUGCCGAUGCCGGCAGGCGCCUCGCGGCCCUCGUCCGAGCCUGCGGUGGCCUCCGUCAGCCCUCGUCCAAGCCUUCCGCGGCCUCUGCCGGCCUCGCCGCUGCAUUCCACCGCCCGAGAUGGCUGCCGCCGCCACCUGCGCCCUCGGCCACGCACCGCGCUGCAGCCGCCUGCGCCUCCGUGUGCAGCUCUGCUCGUACCGCGCCGCCACCGCCCGUGCCCUGGGUCCCCGCCUGUGUGCCAGAGGGCGCCAUGCCGCUCAGCUCUGCUCAGAGGAAGGAGAAACUUUUUAGUGUUACGAUGUUGGAAAUGUUCCUAUGGGUUGUUAUGUUAGUCUUGUUUGGCAGGGUGCAGGCUUGUCCUGACGUAAUCAACUACUGCAAAAGUGAAGUGCCGUCCACUCGGUUUUGUCUAAACUCUGUUCCAUUUGGUACAAGGAGAACCAACGGAUGCCGUUCUUUUCUCGAUUGGGAUAGGAAGGAAGGAUGUGAUGCUAUGAGUGAACAAGCCACUUGUAUUUUAUUUAUUUAUUUCUUUUUGGAGAGAGAGAAUAUCCCUGAAGAUGAAAGAGAGCACCAAACGCCAAAAGCUAGUCGCAGCUAAGAUUAUUAGACCCAAGUAUUUGAAGAAAAAGACGGCCAUCUGGGCUUGUAUUUUUAAAGAAUCCUGUUCUUAUCUCUCCAAUUUUCUGCAAAGUCGGAGAUCACCCACUUGACCACUAACGUUGACUCAUUGUCCAACCUUCACUUUUGGUCUUCAUCUUAAGCCUUCCCAAAAAAUUAUUGUAGUGACAAUUCUGAAGAAUCAAACACUUUACAAGUGUUCGCAUGUAGCCCAAAUAGCAUUUACUCUUGUAAGAGGAACAAUUGAUGGCGGUGGUCCGUCACCACUCCGCUUUUUUUAUUUGUAAAAAAGUUACAAUUAGAUUUAUUACAUAACUAGAUAGUGAUGAUAUUUGCCAUAA
rnacentral:lncRNA from 1 species